rnacentral:rRNA from 1 species
UUUGGGGAACCAGCACAACCCUCUAGGGGUGGCUUAUCUCAUUAUAUAUAAUGGUUGUGUUACAAUAUGUACCAUAUACGUACAUAGGUACAGAAGCUAUACAUAGUCUAAAAUUGACAAACUGGCGUCCGGGAAGUAGGCCUCGCUGAUGGGCCCAAUCAAUAGGAACUUGUGGACGAGGAUAACGGCCAUGGCACGGAGCUGGGUAGGGAUGGUCGUCACCGCGAGCGAUGAGGCAAGGCUGCAAGGCACAACGCGAGGGGCUCCGGGUGGGAGCCGCGGUUGGCGUUGGAGGUUGAUAUGGCCGUGGAGAGCAGCGCGUCCCACGCUGCCGGGUGACUCUCCAGCAGAGCCAUGGCCGCGGCCUGCUCUUCCAUGGACGACAUCGGAUCGGGCACGAGCCUUGUUUGCGGGAGGCGACGACUGAUAUGUGGGGGGAGACAGAGGAAGGGGAUGGAGCGAUGUGUGCUUCCCUUUCAUCUACUACCUCCAUCCUGGUUUAUUAAUCCCUAUGUAAUUUGUGCUAAAUUUUGAC